AGAAAUAAGUAACGAAUCUAUUAUCCAUUUUGCUUUAAAAACUAAAUCAAACGUGUUUGGAUUAAAAGAUUUCAUUUGAAUUCUCUAGAAUUCACACAAAGGAGCGAAUUAAGUUAUCACAACAGCUGUGCUACUUUUGUUCAACGAAAAAACAAAAAUCUUCCAAUUGUCUUUAAUGAACGAUCUAUCUAUGCAAAAUGGGUUUGGCCUUAGAAAAAAAAUCAACAAACAUGAAUGUGGAAUUUCAUUUGUAUAGACUUAAGAGAGACA
rnacentral:sRNA from 1 species